GGGCGGUUAGCUCAGUUGGUAGAGCAUCUCGUUUACACCGAGGGGGCCAAAGGUUCGAGUCCUUUACUGCCCACCA
rnacentral:tRNA from 1 species